AACAAACUGACUGCAUUUCUGGUCGGGAGAGGUAGUUUCCCGGAAUCCCCUCUAACUUCUUAGAGAAAAGUAUGCCUGCGAGUCAAGUGUCUGAUCAUCUAGCUUGCUAUUUCUUAGAUUUCAGUACCUUGCUUCUGCCACCCGUGUUAGGACAUCAGAAGCCAGACUUGUAGAUGCCUCUUGAGUAGAGUUAGUUUACUGUAUGUGUUGCCCGUUUGUUGUACUAGGUUUUGAGAGAUAGUGUAAUUGGAGGCCAGAAAGUCUUAGGAAUUAAAAAUGUUCGUUUCUGGAUGAAGAUGUGGAUGAGUGGAAAAAGCAUUUGCCUCAUGCUCAUGGCCUGGAGCUUAGUCCUUUGUACCACAUAAAGGAUUUCUGCUCUACAGUAAAGUGGCAAACUCAACAAGCGCAAAAUAAAUCGUAAGCUGGGCAUAAUGGUGCAUGCUUGUGGUCCCAGCAUUUGGGAGGCUGAGGCAGGAUUGCUGCAAGUUCAAGGCCAGCUUAGUCUACAUUGUGGGUUCAAGAAUGACUUGGGCCACAAAGUUAGACUCUGUUUCAGAACACACACAUGCAUGCAUGCAUGCACACACUCACUGGAACACACAGAGUUCUGCACCAUAACUAAGAAGACAAAGAGAAUGAGCCCAGGAGUUCCACGGCAGGUGCCACAUCUAGCAUCAGAGCCAUCAGAGCCUCCACUCUUACAGGAGGUGAGACGUUUGAAGGGUAAGAGAGGCACAGUGCAAGUGCAAGCGUCUCCCACACAUCUGCUGCCAGCUCCUGGGGAAGCUGCCUCCAAGGCCAAGUCCUUGUUGUUCCCUUCAGCACUUCAUUGUUUGGGGUGAAGAUGACGGCAGGACCGUGUGCUUUGCUAGUAACCCAGAAGACACCCCUUGUGUUACAUGGUCCCCUUUAUUUUAUUUAUUGAUUGGAAGUCUCUGACAUUUUCAUCUGUUAAUUUUCAUGUUAUUCCUUUUUCACACAUGCAAACAUUUGUUAAGUGGGUGUUCAAGUACAUUUGCAUGUUUGAGCUUAGUGGUCUUUAAGGAGAGAGAUAAAAAUAAGCUGGGUGUGGUGGCACAUACAUCUGCAGUCCCUGCCUGCCUCUAGCGCUCUGGAGGAUGUCAAAAUUGAGGUCAGACCUGGAUACAUAGCAAGGCUCUGUCUCCAAAAACCAAGGGCAAAAUUGAUACAUUUCUACUAGUCAUACUGUUAAAACCUCUCUAUUUGCAGCAUCCCCACGAAGAACAGCUGGAAAGAACUGGGCCCUGGUUAACUCAGGGUUUCCUGCAGAGUUUGACACCUUGGGGCCCCGACAGCUUCCUGCAGGCUUCUUGCUGGCCUUUCUCCAUAGAGCUUGAGUUCUUGGAGUACUUUCCUUCUUUUUCCUGGGCUGGAGAGGUCUUUCCAGUGCUUGGCAGUUGUUUACUGGUGUGGUGUGUCUUCUCUUUAAACUUAUUCUUGCCUCUAGAUCCAGUCUUGACCGAAUAGGCUGUGCCAGGCCAGAGCCACACUUGCUCUUUACCGUGGCAUGACUCUGCUAUUAUGUUUUCACUCUCUCAUUGCUCAGGUUGUCUGAGGUGGUAAUUAGCAAGCAGUUUUCAUCUGCACUUUACAGGUAAGAAGCUGGAAGCCAGGAGAGGACGCACAGCUUUCCCCAGGCCUCACUGACUGCUAGAGCAGGAGAUUCUCUUUCUUCUUUUAGCUCUUAACCUCCAGAUGUAAUGGCUUGAAGUAUUUCUACCAAAUUUCAAUUUAGGGAAUUGGAUAAAAUUCUCUUUGAGAAAUGUCUUUGGUCAUCACCUCCCCCACUUGAUUACUUUGGGGAAAACUUGGCUUUCCCUCUCCCUGUUAACUCUCCUCCUCAAAAGGUCUUACUAUGUAAUUCUGGCUGGCCUGGAACUCAUGAUAUAAACCUGGCUGGUCUCAAACUCACAGAGAUCCACCUGUCUGCCUCCAGAGUGUUGGGACUACAGGCGUGUGUCACCACUCCCAGGGCCACACAUUCUUGAAUGCAGGCUGAAAUGGGAGAGAGAAUCCUUGGUGGAAUUUGUACUCUGGGAAGCCCCAGUGGUCAAGAAUCUGCUGGGAUGGAGAGUAGAGGGAAAUCUCCUAGGUCUCUUUGUGUUUUUAGCAACUGGGGGGGGGGGCAUGAUGUUGGUUGGCUUAGCUUCCUAGACUUAGAGUGGCUCCUGGGGUUGUGCAGGAGAGCUCUUUGUUUCUGUGUGCUUUCUUACUGUUUUGGAACAGAUAAGACACAAAGGAAUGAAAGUUAAUCUUUAUGUUUGUGUAAGAGGUAGAUAGCCCUCCUGACUCAGGCUUUCUGAAUACAUAAUAGAGGAGCAAAGGGCAGGAACAUUAUUAACCAAUGGUGCAGAAGUUUAGAGAAAAGCAAAACAUUCCCACAAGAUAUGUGUUUUGAAAAUUUUAAGAUGAGAAAAAUAUAUGACAGAGAGCUGGUGAGUGAUGCCUGUAAAGCUGUCAGUCAAGUCUCAGUAGUUUCAGGACUCACCUCUGUAAACGUCCCUCCGCUCCCUUUUACAAGGUUUAUUGCUUAUUCAUUUGUAUGUGUGUCUGUGUGAGAUGUACAUGCAGGUGCCUGCAGAGGUCAGGUACCCAAGCUGGAGGUUAUAGGGGCUGGGAGCUAGCUGAUGUGGGUGCUAGAAAUAGAACCGAGUUUCUGGAAAAGCAGCAAGCCCUUAAUCACUGAGCCAUCCCUCCAGACCCUCCCCUUUUCAAAGCAGAGUCCCGAUGCUGAUGCUGUGUAAUCUUUAAACAAAACAAAACAAAAAACCCUUUUUAUUGAUUCUCUGUGUGAGUUUCACACCAUGCCCCCCAGUCCCAUUCAUCUUCCGGGCCCUAUGUAUCUGCCUCCACCCUUGCAACCUCCCCGCCAAGAUAAAAAACACGAAGACAACAACAACAAAUAAAACAAAGCGUAAAAACAUCUUGUCAUAGAAGCUGUAGUGUGUCACAGUGUGUCUCACAGUACAUCUCUGUCCACACAUCUUCACUUGCAAAGGUUCAUUGCAGUGAGUCAUUGGUUUGGUUGAGGUCUCUGGCUUCUGUGACACCAUCAAUAUUGGAUCCUUAUAGGGAUGCCCAGUUGUCCAGGUGUUUUCCAGUGUCGUGGAGACCCUGCAGCUUUGGAUGGGUAGGACCAGGACCCCAAGGCUUCACAGGCAGUAUGUCAGGUAUCCUAGUCUCAACUUCAGCUGGCUCUGUAGUGAAUGAUAACCCUGAAAUUCAGAUCCUCCUGCCUUCAUCUCUUAGUGCUGGUAUUGUAGGUGUGUGCCAUUGCAUCCAGUUUUAUAGGGUGUGAUGAAUUGUGAGGGUUUCAGAAUUGUGAGAAGGGAUUGGUGACUUUCUUGCUUUUUUUGUUUGUUUGCUUGUUUUUGUUUUUUGAGACAGGGUUUCUCUAGGUAGCCCUAGCUGUCCUAGAACUCUCUUUGUAGACCAGGCUGGCUUCGAACUCACAGAGAUUAAACAAAAUCAGAAGUUCCUGUUUGUGCCUGGAUAACAGAUAGCUGUGUUAGCAUCUUUUUAAAAAAGAACCUGUUUUGUAUUCUAAAAAUAACACAUGCUUAUUAUUAAACAAAAAACCAGAAAACAGUGGCAUAAAACAAGAAUUUGGGCAUGGUGCUACAGAGCUUUAGUCCCAGCACUGAGGAGACAGAGGCCAACAGGUCUUUGUGAGUUGAAGGCCAAACUGAUCUAUAGUAAGUUACAUUUCAGCAAGGGCUACAGAGUAUAAAUAAAUAAAAUAAGAAUAAAACUUGCAGCGUGGUGGUGGCACAUGCCUUCAAUCCUAGCACCUCGAUGGGUAGAUGUAGGCGGAUUUCUGAGUUCAAGGCUACCCUGGUCUGUAGAGUGUUUCAGAACAACCAUGGUUGUACAGAGAAACCCUGUCUUGAAAAACCAGAAAAUAAAAGUUAUUAUUUGGGCCUGGAGAGAUAGUUCACUGGUUAAACGCAUACACUACUCUUGCAGACGGCCAGGUUUGGUUCCCAGUACCAGAACUGAGUGGCUCACAACUACCUGUAACUUACUCCAGUUCAAAGAGAUGCAGUGCCUCUGGGCUUCACAAGUACUUGAACUCACAUGCAUGUAAUUAUGCACAGAGACAUAACUAAAAAUUAUAAAUGUAAGUCUUUAAAAUAGGUAGUACAGAAGUCAGGUGUGGUGGCCUUUUGCUGUAAUACCAACAUUAGGGAGGCCAGUGAAGGAAAACUGAUGUGAGUUCAAGGCCAGCUUUAGUUACAGAGUGAGACCUUAUUUCAAUAUCAACCAAAGAAUGUGUGUGACCAGUGUCUCCUAUUCUGAAAAGCUUAUUACAUAUUAGUACAUUUCCUUUCAAUUAUUUGUUUGUUUUGUUGUUUUGAGACAGGGUUUCUCUGUGUAGCCCUGGCUGUCCUGGAACUCACGCUGUAGACCAGGCUGGCCUCAAACUCACAGAGACCCACUUGCCUCUGCUUCCUGAGGGACUAAAGGCAUGCACCACCAUGCCCAGAUUCAGAAUUUUAAAAAAAUCAUUAUUUACAAUUUAUUCACUUUGUAUCCCAGUUAUAGCCCCCUCCCUUGUCUCCUGUCCGUCCCACCCCAGCUUCAGAAUGUUAUCAAUUAAACUUUAUUUUAUUUUAUUUCAUUCUUGGAGUUGUAAGACCUAUCUCCCUGUGAAACGCUGGCCUUCAGUUUCCUGUGUAGUCUAGCCUAGCCUUGAACUCACAAGUCUCUUGUCUCCCCGCUGAGUGCUGUGAUUAUAGGCAUGCCUUACCUUGAAACUGAAUUUCUUUAAUGUCUGUGUGUGCGCUUAAAUUUUAUUUAUUAUUUUAUGAUUUUAUGUGUGUGGGUGUUUUGAACGCCUAAGGCCUCCCAAUAUAUAUUGUAGGAUAUAAUUACAUACAUAUGCUAUUACAUAUGCAUACAUAUUAUAUUAUAUUAUACAUACAUUAUAUAUAUAUAUAUAUAUGCUAUAGUAAUCACAGGCAUGUGCCACCAUGCCUUGCUGUCUCAUUUUAUUUUGCUCAUAUUUUUGCUGAGAUAGGUAUCAGUCGGUUGCCCAGACCAGCCUUGUGUUCAGUCUCCUGGCUUAUCCUCCUGCAUAGAGGCCUGUGGCACCUCCCCAGGCCUUGGUAAAGCUGUGAAAGCCUUCACUACUUUAAGUCAUUGGGCUAAUAAGUGGAACAUUGUACUUGGGGGAAUUUUGUAACUGUUGUUUUAGGUUGCAUUAAGCAGCCUGCCAGUGAACCGACUACUCAAAACUUUUUAAAGUUAAAUGGUAAUUUUAAUUUUACUAACUGAUUCAGCACCCAUGAAAGUGAGCAAAAGUCCACUUGAUUAGAAAGAUUAACAUUUCCUCUGAUGCAGCCAACGGGAUCAUUUUUCUCACUUAAAGUUCCUGGCUGCUGGAGAGAGAUGAGAGAGUAGCCGACUUCCUGUGCAGGCUCUCUUUGUGCAGCCCAGGCUGCUGGGAAUCGCAGGCCCCCUUCAGCCUCCUCAGUGCUGGGAUGGCAGGCUUGGGUCGCAGGUUGGUUUCUCAGUGCCUUCUUCAUGACCCUGGUCCCUGUUGAGUCUGAUCCCCGGUGGUGCUUAUGGAGGGACGGCAGAUCUUUUAUUUAGUUAAUUGACUUUGCAGCUGGGAUGGAACUCAGGCCCUCACACAUGGAAAACAAGUGUUCUUACCAUGGAGCCCUGCCCUCUCCCAGGAUUCCUCCGCUGUUCUCAACCUCUUGUCAUUGUGACUCAGUGUUCUCACCUAUAGAAUUCACCUCCAGAACAAACAAACCCUGAAAUAUAAAAACAAAAACCUCCCUCCAAAUGUUUGCAGCUGUGUUGGCCACGCUUACAGCAGUCCUGAGGUGCAUACAGCUUCUGUUGGACUGUCUUCAGAAGCCAGCAUAUUUUGCCUUCUCUUUUUCCUAUUUUUUUAAAAAAAUUUUAUAUUAUUAUAUUAUUUGUAAAUAUUAAUAUUUAUAUUAUUUAUAUUAUACAUUACAAUAACAUUUAUAUUCUUAAUUAUGUGUAUGUGUAAGUCUGUGUGUAGCUAUAUACAUGUGAGUGCUGGUGCCCAAGGCUAGAGGCACCAGCUCGGGUACCUCUGGAGGGGGAGUUACAGGCUGUUGUGAGCCUCCUGACAUUGCUGCUAGGAAUCAAACACUGGUCUACAGAGCGAGUUCCAGGACAGCCAGAAACGGAAAAUAAGUAAGAGUUCUGGUUGCUCUUCCAGAGGACUUGCUAAUGUUGGGUAGCCCACAACUCCCUGUAACUCCAGCUGGUCCAGGGAAUCACAUACCCUUUUCUGGUAUUGCACUCAUGUGCACAGACCCCUCCCAUAUACACGUAAUUAGCAAUAAUAAAAUCAUCGGAAAUGUAAAUGCUGCACACAUCCUCUUGGGGUAGCCCUGUGGAAGCUGUGUCUUACAUCACUCGUGAGGGUGUCAAAUGGUACAGGCCCAGUGAACAGAACCUGGCAGUAUGUCUGCAUCUUCUCUGCAAACCAGCAUUGCCAUGUCUCAUGACCUAUCCGGAGGGUGAGCUUCCAUAGUUUCAAAUCUGUUACGAGAUAAAGGGAGAAAGACAAUCCAAGAAUCCACCUACCCAGCAGAGAGCUCUGCAGCUGCAGCCACUAAAAAGGAUUCUUACGAACCGAGAUACCGGUAGUUUAUUGAUUUUUGGAGGUAGGGUCUCAUCUAACUUGGUUGGUCUCAAACUUGUUAUUUAGUUGAGGAUGACCUUGAACUUCUUUCUGGUCCACCUGGCUCUACUUCCGGAGUGCUGGCAUUACAGGCAUGUGUAAACAUGGCCAUGUCAGUUUACAUGGUGUUGAGGCUCAAACCCAGGGCAUCGUCCGUGUGAGGCAAAUACUCUACCAACUAAGCUCCAUUCAGUCCUGGAGAAUGAUUUCUAGGAUGUCCUAGUAAGGAAGCAAAUACAAGUUGAUAUGUGCAUAAAACAGUGGGGUCCUAUUGAGUCUUUGUGUAGUAAUUACCCAGAAUAGCUAUGGAGACACAGGGUGAUGGCUUGCCAGGGGUUCCUGGAAGGGCUUGCAGUGGGGGCAGGGCUUCUGUUUAAUGGGGAAGAUCGAUGUAAGUGGUGCCUGCAUAGAGUGCACGAGACACAGUUUAGUUCUCAGUACUGCAAAAACAAAUACAUAAAACAACCCCCAUAUGGUAGCAUAAAUAAUGGCUUGAUAGCUUUUCUUUUUCAAGGGAAACCAGGUCUCGGGGGCUGGAGAGAUGGCCCAGAGGUGAAGAGCACACUGGCUGCUCUUCCAGAGGUGCUGAGUUCAAUUCCCAGCACCCACAAGGUGGCUCACAACCGUCUAUAGUGAGAUCUGGUGCCUUCUUCUGGUGUGCAGGUGUACAUGCAAACAAAACAUUGUAUACAUAAUAACUAAAUUUAAAAAAAGAGAGAAACCUACACAGAAGGCUAGGCUGGCCUCCGAUUUAUUAUGCAACGGAGAUAACCUCAAACUUUUGAUUCCCUUGCUUCUGCCUUCCCAGGCCUGGUUUUAUGUGGUGCUGGGAAUCAGACCCAGGGCUUUGUGGGUAUUAGGCAAGCUCUCUGCCAAAUGGGUUACAUCCCUGGCCCUGUAAAUGAUAAAAAAGUGAAGAGAAUGGUGUUUCACAUUUUUGUACGAGCUGGGCAGGUAUCUGAUUGUUUAGGCAGUCUAGUGCCAUGUGGCUUCUGAAAGAGUAAGCAGGAAAGAAAGCAAGAAUCCAAAUAGCAUGAGAUUCUGAUCUUAACGGCACUACCCCUUACCGAGACACCCCCCUGCCCCCCGUGUGCUCCCAGAACACUGGAGGGAACUGUUGUCCUGCCCUGCUGGAGUGCUGGCAUCGGCUUUCAGCUAAACUGUGUGUCACAGUCCCUAGGGAACCUGUUGGGACUGCUGGGCCACCUAAGCAGGCAGCCCUUAGCCACGCUGCUGGGCCUUCUUGGGCUGGCUCUGAGCUGCCUGUGCAUGCUUUCACCACCUUCAUUGUAGGCCCUUCCGCCUAGUCCUGUUUGAACAGGGUUUUUGUUUGGUUGGUUGUUUUGAGACAGGCUUUCUUUAUGUCGCCUUGGCUGUCCUGGAACUAGCUCUGUAGACCAGGCUGGUCUCUGCUUCCCAAGUGCUUGGGAUUAAGGGUGUGGGCCACCACGCCGAGCUAACACUGCUCUCCCCCCCCAUCUAUUGUGUUUAUUCCACUGUUCGUAAGUAUUUGCUUGGAACCCUUCUGUCAGCCCCUCAAAACCUCAGGCUUUAGCUGGGCGCAGUGGCUUGUAAUCCCGGUGUUUGGGGGAGGCAAAGGCAGGCAGGUCGCUGUGAGUUUGAGGCCAGCCUGGUCUACAAAGCAAGUCCAGGACAGCCAAGGCUACACAGAGAAACCCUGUCUCGAAAACAAAACAAAAACAAACAAGCACCUCAGGCCUGCCCUCACUGUACGAAGACCCGAGGUCCACCAUCAGGUCCACAUACAUGGCCUGUUUGUCCUGACAGAGUUCUUGCUGUUCUCUGGCCCGGGCUUGCCACUUUCCUUUUUUUGUUCUUUAGUUUUAAAUUUCAAUUUAAUUUAAUCAUGUCUGGAGGUAUACUUCCCAUGCCAAUUAAGAGCCUUGUUGCUCUUGCAGGGGCUGUAGUUUGGUUUCUUGCACGUUGGACAGCUCACAGCUGCCAGUAACUCAAGGUCUAAGGAUCUGAUUCCCCUUUUCUGGCCUCCAAGGCUACACACACAGACACAUAUAAAAAGAGCCCAAGCUCAGUGGGGGCUGUUUAAAAAAAAAAAAAAAAAAAGGCUCAACCACAGCCAAAUGGGAAUGGGAUCGUGAGAUAGUCUAGGGUUACAAAACCUAACUUGAUAUAUAUGAAAUGGUGUUAUGAAUAAUGUACACAUUAUGAAUAAUGAACACACUAUAAAGUGAGAAUAGAUCUCACCACUGGCCUGAGAUUAGCCCCUUCUCAGUUUAUGAUUAGAGAGUGCAGUGGGGAAAAUAUACGAGUUCUUACAGCCAUUGAGACAGAUGAGUGGGCUGUAGAGAGCAUGCUCAGAAGUUCUUGGAUGAGGUAAGCUAACAGCCUCCUGAAGAGCCCACUGGGGAAAACUCCACAGAAGCCAGCAUUCUAGAAGAUGAAAGGGAAUGGGCAAAUGGACUCUCAGAGCAAAUAGCAUGGAUGUAUAAAGUCGUAAAGUUGAGUACAUUAAGAAAGACAGGUCCAACAGUUCAGGAAGGCAGAGGUCUCACAUCUUCCAGAGCAGAGGCUCCGGACGACCAGAGGCAUUCCCAAGGACACUGGACUAAGCAAACAAGUCUCUUUCCGAGAUCGAGGCUGACUCGGUGGUACUGGACCAGUAGCAGAAGGUCAGCCUGCACCCCCAAGCAGAGCCUAGAAGAGCUACUGGUGCUGCACUUCCGAAAAGUACCAUCUGGUUGAGAACAGGCUUCCUGGGUGGCUCCAAAAUAAACUCCUCAGACUCAAGCUUCCAGCCCGGGGCUGGCCGCUGCACCUGCCUCCCGUCGUCUGUGGCUGGGUGCACCUGGCCCGAUCCUCUGCCUGAGCCGCUCCAUGUGGAGCUGUGAUUCCAGCACCCUGGGAGGCGUCUCUGAAAGUAGCGACGGUACUGACGAAAGAACCGUCUUUCCUGUCUACAGAGUGGACGUUAAAUUCAAAGGAACGCAAUUGUAAGUCUCUCCAGGCCUGCGUUUUAUCAGCUCCACGGCUGCUUCUUCAUUCGGGCGUUAGGCAGUGCCCUAUGCAGGGGAGCGAGUGGGGCUGCCCAGUUCCUCGUCUCUUGGCAGAGAGGCAGGUCAUCUGUAAUGCUGGAAGGUGGAAGUAAUUCGGAGGUUGUAUAACUGGGAACCUGACCUACUUAGGAAAGCUCCUUCCUACAGGAAAGCAAGUGCUUUGCCUUUUAAAAAUUUUUUUAGAUACGGUUUCUCUAUGUAGCCUUGACUGUACUGGACCUGCUUUGUAGUCCAGACUGGCCUUGAACUUACAGAGAUCUGCCUGACUCUGCCUCCCGAGUGCUGGGAUUAAAAAUGUGCACCACCACGCCUGGCUGUUGCUUUGCUUUUUAUUUCUGAGAUGGGAAAGGGUCUCGUGUAGUUCUCGCUGCCUCUGAGCUUCUGUGUAGCCGAGUCUGAUGGUGAGCUCGUGAUCACCAGCACGUGGAAUCACAGCAUAUUCCACCACACCCUUGAGGCAGCCUCUGAGCUUACGUUCUAGAGAUAAACAGUGUUAGUAAGGCAAAGAGUGUCAGGGUCAGGAGUCUUUCACUGGUGGAGAGGCUCUGGCUGUAUGAAAGGGCAAUACGCCUGAGGGAGCUGUUGCCCUGCCGAGGCUGUGGGUCCAUUCUGAAAGUGACUGGAACCGCCUUAGAGUUUAAGGAGGGGGCAGGUAAUGAGAUUCAGGGUUUCACAAGGCGGCUCAGUUUGGAGAGGUAAGGCAUGGACAGGGCAGACGUCAGGAGGUGCUACGGCUGGAGAGACUGAGUGACAGGGAGGAGGGGGGCUAAGAGGAAACCACAGGUGGAACUCUUGAGGGACAGCUGGCCAGAGGCUGUAGGAGGAGGAGUAGCUGGGCCCUUCUUGUCCUGCAGCCAGAGGAGAGCCAACAAGGCCAAGAUGUGAUUGAUGGACAGUACAGGGGGUUGGAACGUCCGCAGCAGCGUGGACUAGGGAGCCCUGCUGGAACCAAAACACCAAGUGACACUAGGGUGGGUGGCACUUCUGCAGUGCCACUGCUCCUCACUGGAUCCAGACACUCCUGUUCUUCAAGGCACCCUCCAGCCUCCCCUUCCCUGCCGGCUGCAGGAGCAGAUGCCCGGGUUGAGUGGAGGUGCCAAAAUUGGCAGCGUCACAUCCCGCAGCACGGGUUUGGCCUGUAGCAGUUCUGGCGGCAGCAGUGUUCCUCGGGAACUUUUUACAAAAACCUCUAUGUCUCUCCCGCCCCACUGGUCCUGUAAGAAACCCUGCAUACUAUAGGGAUGAGGCCCUGUUUCUUUCCUUGUUGAGUUCAUUUUUUAUUUAAUUUACAUUUUUUAAAAAUUUAUUUUGUGACAGGAUCUCCGUAGAGCCCUGCUGUCCUGGAACUGACUAUUGUAGACCAGGCUGGUCUGGAGGUCAUAGAGAUCCACCUGCCUCUGUCUCUUGAGCGCUAAGAUCAAAGGUGUGCGCCGCCCCUCCUGGCUUUAUGUGAAAAGCUAACAAGGCAUGUCGCACUGUGGUGCCUGCCUCUGUAUGUGAACACUUUAGAACUGCCUUAUUUUCUUCACGCAGGCACGCAGCAGAGCAUCUUCCGAUGGUUUUAUUGGUAAAUUACCCAGUCUUUUACUUGGUAAACCGGUAGACACUUUCAGAAGUUGGAAGGCACCUGAAGUCUCUGUGGAAUACCAACUCUGUAUUCCUCUUUAUUUAUUUAGAGGUGUGUAGUGAGAAUUUUGGUUUCUUCAAAAACACAGAAAGAGCUGGGUGUGGUGGUGCACGCCUGUAAUCCCAGCACUCUGGGAGGCAGAGGCAGGCGGAUUGCUGUGAGUUCGAGACCAGCCCGGUCUACAAAGUGAGUCCAGGACAGCGAAGACUACACAGAGAAACCCUGUAUCAGAAAAAAAAAAAAAAAAAAAAGAAAA